rnacentral:lncRNA from 1 species
UUGAGCUAUAAUUCCUUUUUUAUUCAUGGUCUUCCAAUCCAUGUACAUAAGGUUCAAAAGUCACUAAAUAUUAUUUUUACAAUUGCAUGACUUCACUUUACAUCACUUUGUGUCAUUACAAACAUAUUACAAACGUUUCAUACACAAAAGAAUAAAAACAAUUCCAAGCUCUUCAAUAGUCUUCAUUCAUACUCCACCUUU